UUUUUUUUUUUUUUUUUAAAGAUUUAUUUAUUUAUUAUAUGUAAGUACACUGUAGCUGUCUUCAGACACUCCAGAAGAGGGAGUCAGAUCUUGUUACGGAUGGUUGUGAGCCACCAUGUGGUUGCUGGGAUUUGAACUCUGGACCUUCGGAAGAGCAGUCGGGUGCUCUAACCCACUGAGCCAUCUCACCAGCCCUUUUUUUAAUAAAUUCUAAUCAAGAGUUAUUUAUGUGUAUGUGAAUGCUCGAAGGUUGUGGGCAUGUUUAUGAAUGCCCUUGGAAGCCAGAAGAGGGCAUUAGAUCUCCUUGAGAGCAGUCCAGUGUGGCUGCUGGGAACCAAACUCCAGUCUUCUGGAAGAGCAAGCAGCAGUGCUCCUAACUGCUGAGCCAUCUCUCCAGCCCCUUAACAAUUGCAAUAAAGUGAGAUAUUAUUAAAGGGUCAACAAUUUUGAUAAGUAAGAAAAAAUUUCAAAUUAACAAGGAAGAUACAACUUCUUUUAGUGUGUGUGUGUCUACAUGUUCAUGUGGGUAUAUGCAUAAGCACUCGUGAGUGCACACAUGCAUGUGUGCAUGAGUAUGCACAUGGGAGUCAUAGGGCAGAGCACUUGUGAGUGCACACAUGCGUGUGUGCAUGAGUAUGCACAUGGGAGUCAUAGGGCAGAGCACUUGUGAGUGCACACAUGCGUGUGUGCAUGAGUAUGCACUUGGGAGUCUUAUGGCAGAGCACUUGUGAGUGCACACAUGCGUGUGUGCAUGAGUAUGCACUUGGGAGUCAUAGGGCAGAGGUGGAGGUCAGGUGCCUUCCUCCAUGACUCUCUACCUUACUGUUUGUGGCAGGCAGGGUCUCUCACUGAAUGUGGAACCCCCUGAGUCCAUGAGUGUCAGGGAUCCACUGCCCUCUCCUCCAUGAAGCUGUAUGGCAGCGUGUGUGACUUGUUACAUAGGUGCUGGGACCUCGAUUCAGGACCCAGUGCCUUUACUAGCAGGCAUCUCUCCACCCCCAGCUUGCUUUCGUUACCCUUCUGAUAGCGAUGUGCCUAGGACUGUGGGAUUUUUUUCAUCUCUAAGGACUUCUACUGCUAGGUUUCUCUAGGUUGCCCUGGUCUACAGAGUGAGUUCCAGGAUAGCCAGGGCUACACAGAGAAACCCUGUCUCG
rnacentral:lncRNA from 1 species